rnacentral:rRNA from 1 species
UGAACGCUAGCUACAGGCUUAACACAUGCAAGUCGAGGGGCAGCAUGGUCUUAGCUUGCUAAGGCCGAUGGCGACCGGCGCACGGGUGAGUAACACGUAUCCAACCUGCCGUCUACUCUUGGACAGCCUUCUGAAAGGAAGAUUAAUACAAGAUGGCAUCAUGAGUCCACAUGUUCACAUGAUUAAAGGUAUUCCGGUAGACGAUGGGGAUGCGUUCCAUUAGAUAGUAGGCGGGGUAACGGCCCACCUAGUCUUCGAUGGAUAGGGGUUCUGAGAGGAAGGUCCCCCACAUUGGAACUGAGACACGGUCCAAACUCCUACGGGAGGCAGCAGUGAGGAAUAUUGGUCAAUGGGCGAGAGCCUGAACCAGCCAAGUAGCGUGAAGGAUGACUGCCCUAUGGGUUGUAAACUUCUUUUAUAAAGGAAUAAAGUCGGGUAUGCAUACCCGUUUGCAUGUACUUUAUGAAUAAGGAUCGGCUAACUCCGUGCCAGCAGCCGCGGUAAUACGGAGGAUCCGAGCGUUAUCCGGAUUUAUUGGGUUUAAAGGGAGCGUAGAUGGAUGUUUAAGUCAGUUGUGAAAGUUUGCGGCUCAACCGUAAAAUUGCAGUUGAUACUGGAUAUCUUGAGUGCAGUUGAGGCAGGCGGAAUUCGUGGUGUAGCGGUGAAAUGCUUAGAUAUCACGAAGAACUCCGAUUGCGAAGGCAGCCUGCUAAGCUGCAACUGACAUUGAGGCUCGAAAGUGUGGGUAUCAAACAGGAUUAGAUACCCUGGUAGUCCACACGGUAAACGAUGAAUACUCGCUGUUUGCGAUAUACAGCAAGCGGCCAAGCGAAAGCGUUAAGUAUUCCACCUGGGGAGUACGCCGGCAACGGUGAAACUCAAAGGAAUUGACGGGGGCCCGCACAAGCGGAGGAACAUGUGGUUUAAUUCGAUGAUACGCGAGGAACCUUACCCGGGCUUAAAUUGCAGAUGAAUUACGGUGAAAGCCGUAAGCCGCAAGGCAUCUGUGAAGGUGCUGCAUGGUUGUCGUCAGCUCGUGCCGUGAGGUGUCGGCUUAAGUGCCAUAACGAGCGCAACCCUUGUUGUCAGUUACUAGCAGGUCAUGCUGAGGACUCUGACAAGACUGCCAUCGUAAGAUGUGAGGAAGGUGGGGAUGACGUCAAAUCAGCACGGCCCUUACGUCCGGGGCUACACACGUGUUACAAUGGGGGGUACAGAGGGCCGCUACCACGCGAGUGGAUGCCAAUCCCAAAAACCUCUCUCAGUUCGGACUGGAGUCUGCAACCCGACUCCACGAAGCUGGAUUCGCUAGUAAUCGCGCAUCAGCCACGGCGCGGUGAAUACGUUCCCGGGCCUUGUACACACCGCCCGUCAAGCCAUGGGAGCCGGGGGUACCUGAAGUGCGUAACCGCGAGGAGCGCCCUAGGGUAAAACUGGA